rnacentral:rRNA from 1 species
CUUACCCUUAGGACUGGGAUAACUCUGGGAAACUGGGGAUAAUACCGGAUAUUAGGCUAUGCCUGGAAUGGUUUGCCUUUGAAAUGUUUUUUCGCCUAAGGAUAGAUCUGCGGCUGAUUAGGUCGUUGGUGGGGUAAUGGCCCACCAAGCCGAUGAUCGGUACGGGUUGUGAGAGCAAGAGCCCGGAGAUGGAACCUGAGACAAGGUUCCAGACCCUACGGGGUGCAGCAGGCGCGAAACCUCCGCAAUGUACGAAAGUGCGACGGGGGGAUCCCAAGUGUCAUGCUUUUUUGUAUGACUUUUCAUUAGUGUAAAAAGCUUUUAGAAUAAGAGCUGGGCAAGACCGGUGCCAGCCGCCGCGGUAACACCGGCAGCUCGAGUGGUAGCUGUUUUUAUUGGGCCUAAA